GGGCAAGCAACUCCUAUCCCUACCUCCUCGUGGUACUGGCCGGGGUACGAGUAACCUUGGGGAAGAUCGGGUAACCAACCCCCGGUGGGAACUUUGGUCGUAUGCUGACAGGGAAGG
rnacentral:ribozyme from 1 species